GUAGCGGAAUCGGCAGGGGAGACGCGGACGUCAAUCCCACGCGGUGAGGACGGGAGCCACUAUGGUGGCAUCACACAGUCGCUGCUCCUGGUACAGCUGCUUCAAACCUGCAGGAAGGGGAAGACAAAGCCAAGGGUGUGUCAGAACAGACAUUGCAACAGAAACAUCAGCCGGCAAGAGAAGAAAUAACUUGGUCUAAAGGAAUUUUUAAAUGGCAUCAAAUCUCAGGGUUCUUGCAAGUCCGGACCAGGACAACACAGUUCAGCCAGCGGGCGGGAACUUUGCCCUGCCUCCUGAAGCUGUGUCAUUCUGAGGAUAAAUAGGAGACUUCAGUUUCCAGGGCUACCACAUCAGUGUCUCUCACCUGCACCAAAUUUAGCCAAAAACGAUAAAAGGAAGGAACAACACUUGCAAGUAGUUUGCAGCUCAGCAUUGUUCUUUGGUGAUGUCUGUGCACAAGAUCAUUCAUCUUCCAUGGUCGAUCCAUGGUCGAUCCAGAAGGGAGCCAUUCUGUGGGAUGUGACCCAAAUGUGAAGAGUAUCACACCUACCCUCUCGAAUAUAGUGUCCCAGUGGUUUAGGUGCCUCUUCUGUGUCAUCCUCCUCCAUAACCAUUUGGGAAUUUAUCAGUUCGGUUCUGAGAUGUGCCUGGAACCUCUGAUAAGUGCAGCUGGACCUCAGGGUUUAUCACAGGUGGGCCCAGCUAGAGGAACAGGAAAUUAAGCUCACACUGAUCAUCAGAGAGAUGCAGCUCCUUUAACGUCCUUUCUCUGCAGUGCUAGCUCAGCAGAGAUAUCUCGUGACUACCCCCAAUAU